GAAAAUCAAAAAGACCAAGGCCAAAAAGAAAAAGAAGGCAGGUCGUUGAUUGAAUCUUGUCCUUUAAUAAAGAAGCUACUCCUAUUUCAUUUU
rnacentral:ribozyme from 13 species